CGUCCUGCCGGCGACCGGCGCACGGGUGAGUAACACGUAUGCAACCUGCCCGUGGCAGGGGGAUAAGCGGGGGAAACCCCGUCUAAUACCGCGUAACGCGGCCUUGGGGCAUCCCAAGGCCGCCAAAGGGAGCAAUCCCGGCCACGGAUGGGCAUGCGGCGCAUUAGCUAGUCGGCGGGGUAACGGCCCACCGAGGCGACGAUGCGUAGGGGUUCUGAGAGGAAGGCCCCCCACACUGGUACUGAGACACGGACCAGACUCCUACGGAAGGCAGCAG
rnacentral:rRNA from 1 species